rnacentral:rRNA from 1 species
UACAGAGGGUGCAAGCGUUGUUCGGAAUUAUUGGGCGUAAAGCGCGUGUAGGCGGUUUGAUAAGUCAGAUGUGAAAUCCCUAGGCUUAACCAAGGAACUGCAUUUGAAACUAUCAAGCUAGAGUAUCGGAGGGGGUGGCGGAAUUCCCGGUGUAGAGGUGAAAUUCGUAGAUAUCGGGAGGAACACCUGUGGCGAAGGCGGCCACCUGGAAGAUUACUGACGCUGAGACGCGAAAGCGUGGGGAGCAAACAGG